rnacentral:rRNA from 1 species
UACAGAGGUCUCAAGCGUUGUUCGGAUUCAUUGGGCGUAAAGGGUGCGUAGGCGGCGCGGUAAGUCGGGUGUGAAAUCUCGGGGCUUAACUCCGAAACUGCAUUCGAUACUGCCGUGCUUGAGGACUGGAGAGGAGACUGGAAUUUACGGUGUAGCGGUGAAAUGCGUAGAUAUCGUAAGGAAGACCAGUGGCGAAGGCGGGUCUCUGGGCCGAAAUUGACGCUGAGGAGCGAAAGCGUGGGGAGCGAACAGG